GGUUGUGACUCAGUGGUAGAGCACUUGCCUAGCAUGCAUGAGGCACUGGGUUCGAUCCCUGGCACCA
rnacentral:tRNA from 1 species